CAGCCGCCGCGGUAAUACGAAGGGUGCAAGCGUUACUCGGAAUUACUGGGCGUAAAGCGUGCGUAGGUGGUGGUUUAAGUCCGUUGUGAAAGCCCUGGGCUCAACCUGGGAAUUGCAGUGGAUACUGGGUCACUAGAGUGUGGUAGAGGAUAGUGGAAUUUCCGGUGUAGCAGUGAAAUGCGUAGAGAUCGGAAGGAACAUCUGUGGCGAAGGCGACUAUCUGGGCCAACACUGACACUGAGGCACGAAAGCGUGGGAGCAAACAGGAUUAGAUACCCCGGUAGUCCCUGUCUCUUAUACA
rnacentral:rRNA from 1 species